GACGAACGCUGGCGGCGUGCUUAACACAUGCAAGUCGAACGGAAAGGCCCUGCUUUUGUGGGGUGCUCGAGUGGCGAACGGGUGAGUAACACGUGAGUAACCUGCCCUUGUCUUUGGGAUAACUUCAGGAAACUGGGGCUAAUACCGUAUAGGAUCUCCUGCUGCAUGGUGGGGGUUGGAAAGUUUCGGCGGUUGGGGAUGGACUCGCGGCUUAUCAGCUUGUUGGUGGGGUAGUGGCUUACCAAGGCUUUGACGGGUAGCCGGCCUGUGAGGGUGACCGGCGACAUUGGGACUGAGAUACGGCCCAGACUCCUACGGGAGGCAGCAGUGGGGAAUAUUGCACAAUGGGCGGAAGCCUGAUGAAGAAACGCCGCGUGCGGGAUGACGGCCUUCGGGUUGUAAACCGCUUUCGCCUGUGACGAAGCGUGAGUGACGGUAAUGGGUAAAGAAGCACCGGCUAACUACGUG
rnacentral:rRNA from 1 species